rnacentral:lncRNA from 1 species
UAGGGUUUGGCAGUGGCAAAUGACAAGUGAAACUCGGUGGCGCCGGAUUGACAGAAUCGGUAUGACCGAGUUUGGCUUAGGGUUUAGGUCAUUUGUGGAAGUGAGAAAGUAGCUGAGGAUUUUGGAGCAUAUCAUUAAGCACAUAAAGCAAGAGGCUCAUUAAGCAACACCUCAUGCCUUCUUGAUAGUAUUGGCUUUUCCUAAAGACUCAAUGUGAUCUUGGAUCACUAAAAUAUAUAAAAUGAAGAGUCUUGAGCUUGAAGCUUUAGCCAAUCCUUUGUCCUUAGCAUCUUGAAGAGGUUCCCACAACCUUUAGUCCAUGCCACUCCAUUGUUGAACUUAUCUGAAAUAUACUAGGUAAAGGUAUUAGUCCAACAAGAGAUAUGUUGUCAUCAAUUACCAAAACCACCUAGGGAGCACUUGUGCUUUCAAUCUCCCCCUUUUUGGUAAUUGAUGGCAACAUACAUCAAAGCUUUAGAUAAAGAUAUAAAGAACAACAAGUAAAGCUUUGGAAGGACAUGUAACAAGCAUAGGCUCCCCCUACAUGUAUGCACUCAUGUGAAUAUGAAAUAUAGAGGCAUGUGAGGGCAUAACCAUGACAGAGUGGGCAAUGUGUUACAUGUAUCUUGGCCAUAUGCAUCAGAGUAAAAGAUUGUUAAGGAAAAUACCUUCAUGCUCAUGAGUCCUUCUUGCAAACAGUAUGUACAUAAGCAAGAACUUCUCAUACUCAUGAUUUUGAUGCAUACACUUACCUUGUAGUCUUUGGUUGACUUAGGACGGAAUGAACCUGCACAAACAAGGUUAGAUAACACAGGUACAUCCACUAGCCAGAGUAAACUGAAGAAACCACAAGAAUACCAAGACUGGGAUGACAUGUAGAGAGUAAGUACUAGGUACUGCAUUGAAUUCAACAUGUCCCCAAGAGUAAAGAUAUGCAAUGAAUUUGACUGAUUUCUUUCCCAUAGGUGUCUUGCUCCCCCUGAAUCUUAUAUGGGAUAUUGGGAGAAGAUAGGGAAUAGAAAAUCAGAGCUGAAAGAAACAAAACAAAUGAACAUGUCUUUCCCCCUAAAAAGACAUGUGACAUCUCUCCUCUUGAUCAUCAAGCAUCUGGGAUCCUUGAGUAUUGUCUCUCCCCCUAGGGAUCUCUUUCUCCCCCUUAAUACAUUAUCUGGGACAUCUGGGAUCCUUGAGAUGUUCUCUCCCCCUUUAGUGCUUUGAUGUGAUCUCUUUCUCCCCGAAGAUAAGCUUUGAUGUGAUCUCUCUCUCCCCCUUUGACAUCAAUUUCCAAGAAGGUUCUUCUGGAAUCCGUCCAAAAAGUUUGGUCCUUGAGACUCAGCAUAAAGCAAAGAAUAAAAUUGGGAUGCUUGUAGAGGACAAGAUUCAUUGAGUGGAGCUGGAUCAGAAGAAUUAUAGGUUGUGUGACAAACUGUUUUUCCUGUUGCGAAGUCGGUGGCACCGAGUGGUAUGAUUCGGUGGUACCGAAGGAAUUCGGUUGGACCGAAAAUUACAAUUUGGUGAGACCGAGUUCACACAGAGAAAAACACUUGUCACCUCAGCUCACUAGACAUGCAGGAUCUCACAAAGAUUUGCAAUGAAUUGAAUGCGGAAAAUGCAGAAUAAAAAGAAAAGAAAAGAAACUGAAGGAUCUAGAUGAAGUAGAAGGAAACAAAUAAACAAGCAUGAGACAAAUGCAGUAACACAGAAAGAAACACAAGAGAACUUCAUCUAGAGUUGGGCGGUGACAUAGUCACCUAUGUUAGAGUAUAUUGACUUAGGAGUCAAGUGAGAACACUUGAUCAUAGGUCAUACUCAUCGUUUAAGCUCAAAAUGGGGUUGCCAUUUUUCGUUUAAGCAUCUUGAUGUAUUCACAUCUUGUUGAGUUGCUUUGACUCAUGUCUUGGAGUAAAGCUUCUCUAAGAUGGGAUAACAUACCUUGGGUGGUGGAGUGGUUCUUGCUGAUGUAGUUGAACUUGUGUGGGUGCUCAAGGUUGAUGUAGUCCAUCAAGAAUUUGGAGCACCACUUGGAGUUUGAGUUCAUCUACCUACAUGGGUUAGUUCUUGCAAGGAAGAGCACUUGUGUAUCCAAAAAUGACAAUCAUGAAGCUCAACAUAGAAUUUGUCAAAGGAUAUGUUUGAAUGGUUUUGUGCUUCCUUGUCUUCAACCACCAUUGUGUAGAGACUUGGUGAUGUAAAGAUUGCUCAAGAUGUGAGUGAGUCACAAUCCCAUGGAAUUAGUUUCAACCAAGUACCUACAUGGGUUAGACAACAUGCAAGGUACAAAUAUAUCCAAGACAUAAGAUAGUCAUCAUAAGAGAUAUAUCAUGGAUUAGUCAUAAGCUCAUGUCUUGCAUGUGUCCAAUGGAGUUCCUACUCCACGUUUGAAGCAUCAAUGAUGUUCAAUUCUCCUCUUAGCCUGCAAAAUACUUUCUCAUCAAGUGGUUUAGUGAAUAUAUCCGCUAAUUGCUUGUCAGUGCGAGCAUGCUUAAGAUUAAUGUCACCCUUAGCAACAUGAUCUCGAAUGAAAUGAUGACGAACUUCAAUAUGCUUAGUUCGAGAAUGUUGUACGGGAUUAUGACCAAUUUUGAUAGCACUUUCAUUGUCACAAAGCAGUGGAACAUGUUCCACAUAAAUUCCAUAAUCUUUAAGAGUUUGGGUCAUCCAAAGUAAUUGAGCACAACAUGAACCAGCGGCAAUGUAUUCCGCUUCGGCGGUGGAUAAGGAUACCGAGUUUUGUUUCUUGGAGGACCAAGACACAAGAGAUCUGCCAAGAAAUUGACAGGUACCCGAAGUGGACUUCCUACCAACCUUGUCUCUGGCAUAAUCCGAGUCAGAAUAGCCAACAAGAUCAAAAGAAGACCUCUUAGGAUACCAAAUGCCAAAGUUUGGUGUGUGAAUUAAGUAUCUCACUAUCCUUUUCACAGCCUUAAGAUGACAUUCUUUAGGAGCAGCUUGAUAUCGUGCACACAUUCAUACACUUAGCAUAAUAUCGGGACGUGAAGCACAUAGGUAUAGUAAUGAACCAAUCAUAGAACGAUAAACCUUUUGAUCAACCGGUUCACCACCUUUGGUCAAAUCAUUAUGUCCACUAGUGGGCAUGGGUGUAGACAUACCUUUGCACUCUUGCAUAUUGAACUUCUUGAAUAAGUCCUUGGUGUACUUCGUUUGAGAGACAAAUGUACCUUCCUUAGUUUGCUUGAUUUGCAAACCAAGAAAGAAUUUGAGUUCACUCAUCAUAGACAUCUCAUACUUCUGUGACAUUAGCUUUCCAAACUUUUCACUAAAGAGAGGGUUAGUUGAACCAAAUAUGAUAUCAUCAACAUAGAUUUGACAUACAAAUAGUUCUCCAUUAACCCUUUUAGUGAAGAGAGUAGAAUCAAUUUUACCAAUUUCAAAACCACUUGCAAUAAGGAACUUGGUCAAGCAUUUAUACCAUGCUCUAGGAGCUUGUUUAAGACCAUAAAGAGCUUUGUGAAGUUUGUAAACAUGAUUAGGUUUCUUAGGAUUGACAAAGCCGGGAGGUUGUUUGACAUAAAAUUCCUCCUCUAUUUCACCAUUUAAAAAAGCACUCUUAAUGUCCAUUUGGUACAAGGUGAUAUUAUGGUGAUUAGCAUAGGCAAGUAAGAUGCGAAUGGACUCAAGUCUAGCAACGGGAGCAUAUGUCUCACCAUAGUCCAUACCUUCGACUUGUGUGUACCCUUGGGCGACGAGACGUGCUUUGUUGCGGACCACUUUUCCAUCUUCAUCUUGCUUGUUGCGAAACACCCAUUUGGUACCAAUGAUGUUGUGGUUGUUGUCGGGCUUCUCAACCAAUGUCCAAACUUGGUUUCUCUCAAAAUUGUGUAGCUCUUCAUGCAUAGCGUUUAUCCAAUCCGGAUCUUCCAAUGCUUCUUCAACCUUCAUAGGUUCAUUUCUAGAGAUGAAUGAAUAGUUUUCACAAAAGUUAGCUAAACGAGUUUUUGAGCGAGUGAUUCUCCCGGUUUGUAUAUCAUUGAGGAUUUGCUCGACGGGAUGAUCUUUGGCAAUUCUUGCUCGAACUCGUGAGAGCUUUUGCUUGGGUCUUCGUUGAGCAUCUUCUUCAUCUUGUUCUUCUUCUUGGCCUUCUUCAUUGUUGACGUUGUCAUUCUCUUGUCGUGGUGGGGAAGGAGGUUGUUGAUGUUCGUCUUGAUGUACUUCCUCGUCUUCUUCAUCUUGGUGUGUCCCACUUGUGGAUGCUUCCGUGUCGAUUCUUGGUUCACCUUGUCGUGAAGUAGAAGCUUCCACUUGGACGGAUGACGUACUCUCCUUCACCUCCGUUGGACGAACUUUGCCAAUGGACAAGUCUUGGAUUGCUUCUGAAGGGUCUUUGUCUCCUACAUCAAUUGGCAAUUGCUCUACUUGCGAGCCAUUAGAUUCAUCAAACUUCACAUCUACCGUCUCUUCAACCUUUCGGGUGAAAUUGUUGUAGACACGGUAAGUGUGAGAGUUUGAGCCAUAACCGAGUAGGAAGCCUUCAUGAGAUUUAGGAGCAAACUUUGAACGACGAUGCUUAUCAAGAAUGUAGCACUUUGAGCCGAAUACUCGAAAGUAUCCAACUUGGGGUUUGUUACCAGUGAGGAGCUCGUAUGCUGUCUUGCCGAGUAGCUUGUGAAGAUACAAGCGAUUUGUUGCGUGACAAGCUGUCUCAACCGCUUCUGCCCAAAAGUGUUUUGGCGUCUUGUAUUCAUCAAGCAUCGUUCUUGCCAUUUCGAUGAGCGUCUGGUUCUUCCUCUCAACAACUCCAUUUUGUUGAGGUGUGUACGUAGCCGAGAACUCAUGUGAAAUCCCUUCUUCGUCAAGAAAGGUGUCCACAUUUGCGCUCUUGAACUCCGUUCCGUUGUCACUCCGAACCUUCUUGAUCUUCACUUCAAACUGAUUUUGGGCUUUCCUAGCAAAGUUUUUGAAGAUCUUCUGGACCUGCGACUUGUCAUUCAGAAAGAACACCCACGUAAAUCUUGAAAAAUCAUCAACUAUAACUAGACCAACAGAAUUUCCACCGAGACUUUUGUAGGCGUUGGGACCAAAAAGAUCCAUAUGAAGUAGCUCGAGUGGCCUCCUUGUGGUCAUGAUGUUCUUCACAGGAUGCCUUCCUCCAACCUGUUUACCUGCUUGACAAGCACUGCAAAGUCUAUCCUUAUCAAAUAUGACAUCGUUAACUCCAAGGAUAUGAUUUCCUUUAAUAAGCUUGUCAAGAUUUCUCAUGCCAACGUGACCUAGUCGUCUAUGCCACAACCAACCUUUUGAGGAUUUAGCAAUGAAGAAAGUUUUAGGUUGUGCCUUUUUAGAGAAAUCGACAAUGUAAAGAUCACCUCUACGCAUAUCGGUAAAGACCAUUUUAUGAUUGUCUCGACGAAACACUUGGCAAUCUACCUCAGUAAAUAGAACAUUUAGGCCAAAAUCAGCAAGUCUAGAUACUGAAAGUAAAUUGUAGCCGAGAGAUUCAACGAGCAUGACAUUUUGAAUGGAACUAUCAUGUGAGAUGGCCACCUUACCAAGGCCAACUACUUUACCCUUUGAAUUAUCACCAAAGGUGACAUAUUUUCGAGGGACGUCAUUUUCAGCAAGCUCACGGAACAUCUCUUCAUCUCCGGUCAUAUGAUCAGUACAUCCACUAUCAAGAACCCACUCCAUUGUUGAACUUAUCUGAAAUAUACUAGGUAAAGGUAUUAGUCCAACAAGAGAUAUGUUGUCAUCAAUUACCAAAACCACCUAGGGAGCACU